GCCCGGAUGGUGGAAUCGGUAGACACAAGGGAUUUAAAAUCCCUCGGCGUUCGCGCUGUGUGGGUUCAAAUCCCACUCCGGGUACCA
rnacentral:tRNA from 1 species